rnacentral:rRNA from 1 species
GACGAACGCUGGCGGCGUGCCUAAUACAUGCAAGUAGAACGCUGAAGGAGGAGCUUGCUUCUCUGGAUGAGUUGCGAACGGGUGAGUAACGCGUAGGUAACCUGCCUGGUAGCGGGGGAUAACUAUUGGAAACGAUAGCUAAUACCGCAUAAGAGUAGAUGUUGCAUGACAUUUGCUUAAAAGGUGCAAUUGCAUCACUACCAGAUGGACCUGCGUUGUAUUAGCUAGUUGGUGGGGUAACGGCUCACCAAGGCGACGAUACAUAGCCGACCUGAGAGGGUGAACGGCCACACUGGGACUGAGACACGGCCCAGACUCCUACGGGAGGCAGCAGUAGGGAAUCUUCGGCAAUGGACGGAAGUCUGACCGAGCAACGCCGCGUGAGUGAAGAAGGGUUUCGGAUCGUAAAGCUCUGUUGUAAGAGAAGAAAGAGUGUGAGAGUGGAAAGUUCACAGUGUGACGGUAUCUUACCAGAAAGGGACGGCUAACUACGUG